rnacentral:rRNA from 1 species
UACAGAGGGGGCAAGCGUUGUUCGGAAUUACUGGGCGUAAAGGGCGCGUAGGCGGCCCGCUAAGUCGAACGUGAAAUCCCUCGGCUUAACCGGGGAACUGCGUCCGAUACUGGAGGGCUUGAGUGUGGGAGAGGGAUGCGGAAUUCCAGGUGUAGCGGUGAAAUGCGUAGAUAUCUGGAGGAACACCGGUGGCGAAGGCGGCAUCCUGGACCAUGACUGACGCUGAGGAGCGAAAGCCAGGGGAGCAAACGGG